UACGUAGGGCGCAAGCGUUGUCCGGAAUUAUUGGGCGUAAAGAGCUCGUAGGCGGCCAGUUGCGUCCGCUGUGAAAUCCCGGGGCUUAACCCCGGACGUGCAGUGGAUACGAGCUGGCUAGAGGCAGGCAGGGGAGAACGGAAUUCCCGGGUGUAGCGGUGAAAUGCGCAGAUAUCGGGAGGAACACCGGUGGCGAAGGCGGUUCUCUGGGCCUGUACUGACGCUGAGGAGCGAAAGCGUGGGGAGCAAACAGG
rnacentral:rRNA from 1 species